UACGUAGGGUGCAAGCGUUAAUCGGAAUUACUGGGCGUAAAGCGUGCGCAGGCGGUGAUGUAAGACAGACGUGAAAUCCCCCGGGCUCAACCUGGGAACUGCAUUUGUGACUGCAUCGCUGGAGUGCGGCAGAGGGGGAUGGAAUUCCGCGUGUAGCAGUGAAAUGCGUAGAUAUGCGGGAGGAACACCGAUGGCGAAGGCAAUCCCCUGGGCCUGCACUGACGCUCAUGCACGAAAGCGUGGGGAGCAAACAGG
rnacentral:rRNA from 1 species